rnacentral:rRNA from 1 species
AUUGAACGCUAGCGGGAUGCUUUACACAUGCAAGUCGAACGAGUGGCGGACGGGUGAGUAAUAUAUCGGAAGUGCCCAGUAGCGGGGGAUAACUACUGGAAACGGUAGCUAAUACCGCAUACUAUCGGAUAACCCAUAUGGGAUUAGCUAGUAGGUGAGGUAAUGGCUCACCUAGGCGACGAUCCCUAGCUGGUCUGAGAGGAUGAUGAUCCAGACGGGGACUGAGACACGGCCCAGACGCCGCCGGGGGUAGCAGUGGGGAAGAUUGCCCAAUGGGCGCAAGCCUGAUGCAGCCAUGCCGCGUGUAUGAAGAAGGCCCUAGGGUUGUAAAGUACUUUCAGUCGGGAGGCGUUACCGACAGAAGAAGCACCGGCUAACUCCGUGCCAGCAGCCGCGGUAAUUC